GGGGUUGUUGGGAGAGUUAGGGGGGUUGUUGGGAGAGCUCUGGGGGCUGUUGGGAGAGCUCUCAGGGGCUGCUGGGAGAGCUCUGGGGGCUGCUGGGAGAGCUCUGGGGGCUGUUGGGAGAGCUCUAGGGGCUGCUGGGAGAGCUCUAGGGGCUGUUGGGAGAGCUCUCAGGGGCUGCUGGGAGAGCUCUAGGGGCUGUUGGGAGAGCCUGGGCGGGCUGUUGGGAGAGCUUUGGGGGCUGCUGGGAGAGCUCUAG
rnacentral:lncRNA from 1 species